rnacentral:rRNA from 1 species
CCCUUAGAUGUCCUGGGCCGCACGCGCGCUACACUGAUGCAUGCAACGAGUUUAUAACCUUGGCCUGAAAGGUCUGGGUAAUCUUUUGAACGUGCAUCGUGAUAGGGAUAGAUUAUUGCAAUUGUUAAUCUUGAACGAGGAAUUCCUAGUAAACGCGAGUCAUCAGCUCGCAUUGAUUACGUCCCUGCCCUUUGUACACACCGCCCGUCGCACCUACCGAUUGAAUGGUUCGGUGAAGAUCUCUGACUUCGAUAUUUAUUCUUUAUUGAGUUUAUAUUGUGGGAAGUUAUCUAAACCUCAUCAUUUAGAGGAAGGUGAAGUCGUAACA